rnacentral:rRNA from 1 species
UAAGCAUAUCAAUAAGCGGAGGAAAAAGAACCAACAGGGAUUGCCCUAGUAACGGCGAGUGAAGCGGCAACAGCUCAAAUUUGAAAUCUGGCGCAAGCCCGAGUUGUAAUUUGUAGAGGAUGCUUCUAGGUAGCGACCGGUCUAAGUUCCUUGGAACAGGACGUCAUAGAGGGUGAGAAUCCCGUAUGUGACCGGCCCGCGCCUUCCACGUAGCUCCUUCGACGAGUCGAGUUGUUUGGGAAUGCAGCUCUAAAUGGGAGGUAAAUUUCUUCUAAAGCUAAAUACCGGCCAGAGACCGAUAGCGCACAAGUAGAGUGAUCGAAAGAUGAAAAGCACUUUGGAAAGAGAGUUAAAAAGCACGUGAAAUUGUUGAAAGGGAAGCGCUCACAACCAGACUUCUGGGCGGUGUUCCGCCGGUCUUCUGACCGGUCUACUCGCCGUCCCGAGGCCAACAUCAUCUGGGACCGCCGGAUAAGACCUCAGGAAUGUGGCUCCCCUCGGGGAGUGUUAUAGCCUGUGGUGAUGCGGCGCGUCUCGGGUGAGGUCCGCGCUUCGGCAAGGAUGUUGGCGUAAUGGUUGUCAGCGGCCCGUCUUGAAACACGGACCAAGGAGUCUAACAUCUAUGCGAGUGUUCGGGUGUCAAACCCCUACGCGUAAUGAAAGUGAACGGAGGUGGGAAGGGUAACCUGCACCAUCGACCGAUCCUGAUGUCCUCGGAUGGAUUUGAGUAAGAGCAUAGCUGUUGGGACCCGAAAGAUGGUGAACUAUGCCUGAAUAGGGUGAAGCCAGAGGAAACUCUGGUGGAGGCUCGCAGCGGUUCUGACGUGCAAAUCGAUCGUCAAAUUUGGGUAUAGGGGCGAAAGACUA